GCGUGAAGUGAACCCUAAGCUUUACCCCAAGAGAUACCCUACGCGCCUCUCCGUUCGAGGUAAGAAUGUAAUGGGGUUUACCGUGCCCCUCUAAAAGGCUGGUCCACAGAAACGCCCUACUGCAGUGAUUAAUUAAUAUAUAUAAUCCACCAUACAAUAAAACUCAAUAACAUGAUAUGGCAAUUUUGUAAUUCACAGUCUUUCAAGGCAACCAAACCAUUCGCAUUUCAAUAAAAUUGUCAACUAGCCAAUCAUGCCCAAUUUAUCAUAAGCCAAUCAAUUUAAACAAUCAAAUUGCCACAAUUAACAGUCUCCGUGUACUCUAUUUUUUUAAAAUCACUAUUAAUUUCAAAACAAUUUAUAAUUUAAUUUUAUUGAAACACAUUUAUUCAUAAAACAUGAAAAUUUAUCUUUUUAAAUUCCUUUUUCCAUAAAAUUCAUAAAAUCAUCUAAAAACCACCCUAGAUAAUUAAAAUGAUAGUAAGUUUACUCACAAUGUCUAGAAUGCAGACUAUCGACGCACUUUGUCUACUGGUCCUCGGAUGUAAUUUCCUUGCCUUUAUCGAAGGACUCACCACCUUGACACAGUACAAAAUCGAGAAAUUCACUACAUUGGUACUAAAUUGAAAUUAAACUAAUUUAGACUAUUAAUGCAUAAUAUGGAAUGCAAAAAUGCACUGGUAACUAUCUAAACUCGGUAUUGGCCUAAUUCGUCUUAUCACCCGAUUAAAUUACUAACGCGUCCAAUUUAAUCCCAAAUUAAUUUUUUUCAGUUUCUAUACCUCAAUUGCACCCAAAUUGACUUAAUGUCCCUUAGUGUGGUGUAAAUUAUCAGUCUCGACAGCAAAUUACGAAAAUACCCCUAAUAGGUAAAAAUUAUAUUUUUGCUCCGAAAAUUCCCAUUAUUUUUCUAGGCUCAUAAUUCAUCAUUUCUUAACCAAUUCUCCUAGAAUAAAAAUCAAACUCAUCCUCACUCAUACAUGGUAAAUUCGGCCAUUAAUGGUUGUGGGAGAAAAUAAAUUCUUUUCUUGUUGUUUUGUUUCUAAAUAUGCUAAACUAACUAAAAACACUAACAUAACUUAAAAUCAAAUUAAUCUAACAACUUUCUCUCUCCUAACCCAUUUUGAUCAGCCAACAAUUCAUCAUAAAAACAUGUAAUUUAAGCAUGGAAAAUAAGGAGAAAUGCUUAAGGAAAAUAGAUUUCAAGCUUAAGUUGAAAAAUCCUACCUUUUUCACUUGUUUUCCUUGAUUUUCCACACUUUUUCUCUUGAAAUUCCUCACCUAGGGUUUGUUCUUCCUCUCUUUCUCUCUCUUCCUUGCUUGGCCGAAUAUUUGGAGAGUAAUGGGCUGAUUUAUGCUGAUUUUUUAGUUAAAUAAUAAAAUAUCCUAAGCUUGACACAUGGCAUUUUCUUAUUGGUCCAUUUUUAAAAUUUUAAAAAUUUAAACAUUUUAUCUCCACCACAUGAUUAGUCAAGGGUCAAAGAUGAAGAUAAAGGAAGACCAUGUGCUGGAAAAAAAUGUCCUGAUGGUGGAAAAUUACAAUUUUGCCCUUGGGGUGGCAAAAUUACCAUUUUACCCUUUCUCUAAAUUAUAUCGAAAUUAAACUUUUUCACUUCCAAUAAGUCAAAUUAUACUCCAAUAAGUCAAAUGGGGUCAAAAAAAUCUUUUCUAAAAUUUUCAUUUUGUCCCCAAGUGGCAAAUGACCAUUUUACCCCCUAGAUAGUGAAAAUUCUGAUUCGACUCCAAAUUGAUCCUCAAACUCCAAAUUACCAUUUUAAGUCAUCCUUUGACUAUAAUGAUCUUAAUCUCACCUUAAAAUUCCUAUUUGAUCUAGUUCGAGGAUUAAAUCAACUUUGUUGUACCUCUAGGUACAAUACCGACUUUGGUAAAUUUUUUGGGACUCUCCUAGCAUACAAUCAUGCUAUCAUCACAUGUACGUCAUGAAUAGUAUUUUAUAAGGUCGGGCUUUACAACUAUAACCGUGCGUGUGCGGUGUGGGAGUGCACAUGAUGGUGAUGGUGGUGUGCGAUGUGGGAGUGCACAUGCUGACGAUAUAUGCCAUAUGCGGUGUGGGAGUGCACGUGAUGAUAUAUGCCAUGUGCGGUGUAAGAAUGCACAUGAGCUGAGUUGAGGUUGGCAGGUGUAUGUAUGGAGCCGUGGUGACUAGUGUGUGGAUGACCUUAGUGUAUGUUUGAAUUAUCUAUAUACUUAUAUAUACAUAAUGUACACAUGAAUGUUUACACGCAUGUGCACCUGUUCUGUAGAGUAGAGAUAUUUGGAAAAUGUAAUGUGAUUGAAUUGUAUAUUGAAAGUUGAUAUUCUUAAAUGUUUCCAAAAUGAGUUAAAAGACAUCAUAGCAUCGAGUUUGGUUUUAGAAGAAUAAAUUGCAUUGUUUUUAACAUACGUGCAUCGCGUUUCCUUAAACCUUCUGUAUUAUUGUUUGUUCCCUUCCUAUGUUCACUCACUAGGUUAUACUCAUUCUUUUCAACUUCAUGUUUUUGUUUUCAAGUUCGGAGGUAGUUGGAUCCUAGAUCGGGGUGUUCUUCAUAUUCAACUUUUGGUAGGUUUACCAUGACACUCAAUGAUAGUACCCACGCCCAAAGUCGCUCUGCUGGCAAUCAAGGGUCUUUAUAUGUGUAUAUGGUAGUUUAAAUGUAAAUUGUGAGAUUUGUUGUAAACACUGUAUGUGUAGUUUGAUUAAUAUUGUCGCCAUAGGCUGGCAUCUGAUAAUACAAUUUGAGAAUGAUAUAUGCUUUGUUGUCACGAAUUGAUUCUCGAAAGAAUUAUUAUUGAAAAUUACGAACUGUGGAUCUUAAAGAAAUAUGGGUGAUAAAUGGACUAAUGAACAGGUUUACAUAAAGAGGCUUGCUUGGGCCUAGUGGGCUAUGCCUAUUAGGCCCAUGUGUCGGUCAUGACUCGAGAUUUGGGCUAUGACAGACAAGCCCUAAGAGAGAUUCAAGAAGUUAGAAGUUAAAGCUGAAGAUUGAAGAUUAAAAGCUACCAAUAUUUGUUUAUUUUCGUCUCCUUUAGCAUUUAUUAUUCUUGUAACUCUUGAUGGCUAAACUUCAUAUGUUUUUAUUGAUUAUUGCAAUUAUGAGUAGCUAAUUUCUUUCCUCUAGGAUUGCAAUAGAACUCACAUGUAGUUUAAAUUUUUAAUCACUUUAUAGCUUAUUUUCAAUGGAAUUGAAUUGUUUAUUCCAAUUUGUUCUUAAUGCUUUUAAUUGCUUAGCUACCAAUUAAAUUGAUUUGGAAACCUAAACAUAACUUGAGAAAGGAAGUUUAAAGUAGGCCAAGGUUGGAAUAGCAUAUGAUCAUACUCAUUUGCUUGGAUGAAUAAAUUGAUUUGUAUAUAGAAUAGAGAUAUACCUAUAUGUCAUAUGUAGCCAGUAUUAGAGUCUAAACUUAAUAAGUCUAUUUUAAUUUCAACACACAUAAAGAUAUAGUGGUUUGAUUAAAAUAGAUAUUUUUUAUAAAAGUUUCGAGAGAGCCUUAUAAAUAAUUGAGAACUCUAGGUUAGCAAUCAACCCAUUAAAAAAGGGUUUGCUACUUUUUUGUAUUUUGACUGGUAGGGCAAUUGAUAUUGGGUGAUUAAUCUACAUCACCAUCCUUCGAUCUGUUAAUACACCUUGUGAAGGCAUAUGGUUUCCUUCUUUGAUAACUGAGUUGUGUAAGAGAGUUAAUGUGGAGUAGGGACAUGAGGAAGAGUUAUUAUACCCAAGGAUCUAAUUAAUGAUGGUAUAGUGGAAAAAUUUAUGCAAUAAGAUUCAUCCGUUGUUGGAGGUAGUUCAUCCAUUGUGAGGCCCCGAAUACCUCAUCCCCAGACUUUGUCCAUGUCAUAGAGAAUGGAGCGACUUAGGAUCUACAUGGACCAUCAAGCAUAGUGCACUCAUGCCAUUAAGAAGAUGAUGAGAGUUUAUGUACAACAUAUAGGCAUGGAUAUGGCUGUUUUCCCUGUUUUGACAACUAAUCCCACCAAUGUUGCUGGAGCUAAAGAUGAUGAUAGAGAGGAUAGCUAGAUCAUUUCUACCACUUGUUAGGGGAGUUUUCAUUUCUCUUUCUCUUUGUUUUAUUUUUAUUUUUAUUUAUUUUUCUUAAACAUUAGGACAAUGUUUUAUUUUAAGUUUAGGGGGGUAUUUUUAGAUUUCGUUAUUUUGUGUCUUUAUUUACUUUUAUUUGCUUGUCUUUAUUUUAUUUGCUUUAAAUUUGUUUACUAUUUUGCAUGUUUUGUUAGCUUUAAUUUUUACCUUUUAUAUCUAAAAAAAUUUUAAAAAAUUUGAGAUGUUUUGACACCUUGUUUAAGAUUUUCCUUAUCCUAAGAUGAUAUUUUGAUUAUCUAAUGAUUUUAGAUUUUGGGGAAAAUAUGGGUAUGAUUUAAGUUUGUGUCGAUAUUCUUCUGAUAGCUUCAUUGUAGGAUGAGACUUCCAAUUAUUUGCACACUAUAUUCUUUUACUUAGAAUUGUCAUGUGAUUUAGAAAAAGUUUAUGUUAAUAAAAGUAUAGUGAAGUUAAGGAUUCUAGAAUUUAUUUGAUUCUCUCUUAAGGAAAAAUCCUACACAACAUUUAGGAUAGGAAAUGAUUUAGGCCAUCUUGGGACCAUUUGAACCUUUUUGAGUCUACCCUGUGAUAUAGCUAUCCCUAGUAACCCUUUUUUAUUUUCUUUGUUUAACCACCUAAUUAAUUUAGCCUAGCCUUUAAAAUAGAAUUCUCAAUUUUGUAACCCUCAUUCCUAAGCAUGUAUAUUAUUUUAGAAAAUAUAUAAUGAGCAAAAUGCAUAUAGUAGAAAGGUGAUGUUGUGAUGAAAAGUUUAAAUUGUAUAACUAUUAACCCUACUACCUAUAAUGAAAGAAAUAAGUUUAGUGGUGCAGAAUUGUGAUGAUGAAAAAAAAACUUCAAAGUGAAAGGGUGUAUAUAGGGAAUAAAAAUGAAAUAAAAAUAAAGCUUCAUAUAGGUCCUAAAAUGAUUAUGUGUUAUGACCCAGUACUCUCCUCGAGCCCGUGACAACUGCCGUGAUGUCCCGAUAGACAUUCAUUACCUUGAAUGCCAACCGAAACCUCGCAAGGCUUAAUAUCAGUUUUCGUACUUCCCCUGUGAGCAAUAAUUACUAAAUAUCAUAUUUUAAAAGAUUAUAAGCUAUUUCCAAAUCAAAACAAUAAUAAAAAAAUAUUUUCUAUCUCACAAGGACAUUUUGGUUAUUUUUCUCAAAAAUUUUGAAACCUACUGAAAAUAUAAUAUAUAGGGGAAAAUACACAUUUCAUAACUAUAAACAAGUUUUUAUGUCUAAAACAUUCAUUUAGGGUGAAAUUGUAGCUAAUAGAAUAAAAUAAAAAUAUUAAAUGAAAUAUUCCAUUUUCUUAUAAAACAAUAUUUAUAGAACUCUACGUAAAUAAUUUUUGUAGCGUAAAAGCAAAAUAAAUCCAUACAUACAGUAACACAGAUAACCAAAGUAUGUAAUUUAAUUUACAAUGAUGUGUGGGCCCCCGAAUGUCCAAAGGUAACAAAGGCUGUGGACCUACAAUUUUUGAGGAGGCGAGUCUAAUAAUAACCUUCGACGUAAUCAGCUAUUUACAGACUGUCCUGAUCUUGGAAUGAGUAGAAAGCAGGGUGGUGAGUUUAUAUAAACUCAGUGAGUAAACAAACAUCAUCUAAAAUAUCUAAAGUCGAGUAAAUGGAGACAACUUAAAAUAGUUCAUCGUACUAUGAUUCAUAACAUUUCAAACUCAUUUCAACUAAAUAAAAUAAUUUCAUUUCACUCAAAUAAUCAACAUGGCUUAUAAAUUUCUUAAAAAUUUGGCUUGUGCCAAAACUCAUUCUUGGGGAUACCUUGGCAGGGGCAUCCAACCGAGUCCACCAAGGCUGUUAAAGAAAAGUUCAUAUAUGCAUAAAACACAUUUUUACGUUUAAAAGCAUGAUCGUUCCUUGGCGUUGGCUGAGUUCACCCUCACGUGGUGGUUUAGAGUGUAGUGAACUCUAAAGCUUUACCUUAGAAGAUACUCUCCGUACCUCUCUACUAAGGUAAAUAUAACGGGGUUUACCAUGCCCCUCUAAUAGGCUGGUCCACGGAAACCCACCCACUGCAGUAAGCUAAAUACAUAACCCACCAAAUCAAUAACAUUUCGACAGCAUAACAUGGCUAAUAUAAUACUAUCCAGCCUGUUAAGGCAAAACAACCAAUUCAUACAAUUUCAAUACAAUUUCUGUCACGACCCGAAACUCCCAUCGGGCCCGUGACAACCGCCGCGACGUCUCGAUAGGCACUCAUUACCCCGAAUGCCGAUCGAAACCCUACAAGGCUUAGCAUUAGCUUUCGCAUCUACCCGGUGAGUGACAGUUAUUAAAUCUCGCAUUUCAAGAAAUCAUAAGUCAUUUUCAAAUCAAAACAAUAAAAUAUUAUUUUUUGGCUCACAGGGGCAUUUUCGUCAUUUUUCUUCAAAAAUAUAGAAACCCACCAAAAACAUGUGUAAAAGAUAAAUAUGUUCAUAAAUACUUUAAAUCAGAUAACUGAAGUAUAAAAUUACUUUUACAGUGACAUGUGGUGUCACGACCCGGAACUCCCCAUUAGGCCCGUGACAAUCGCCGCAAGGCCUCGACAAACAUUCUUCACCCCAAAUGUCGAUCGAAACCUCGCAAAGCUCUUGUAUCAACUUUCGCACUUCCCCAGUGAGCAAUAGUUAUCAAAUAUCAAAAUUCAAGGGAUUACAAAUCAUUUUCAAAUCAGAACAUAACAUAUUGUUUUCUGGCUCACAAGGGCAUUUUCGUCAUUUUUGUCGAAAAUCUCGAAACUUGCUAAAAAUAUAGUAGGUAAGCAGAAAAUAUAUAUUUAAUGAUUUAAAAACAAAUUAAAUAUCUAAAACGUUCAUUUGAAGUGAAAAUUUGACCAUUUGAGUAUAAUAAAAAUAUUCAAUAAAAUAAACUAUUUUCUUAUAAAAUAAUUUUCAUAAAACUAUCAGUACAUAAUUCUUAUAGCGUAAAAGUUAAUUAUAUUUAUAUAUACUAUAAAGCAAAUAACCAAAGUAUAAAAUUUCUUUUACAGUGACACGUGGGCCCAUAUCUAACCAAAAUGCAUCGGAAGCUGGAAACCUACAACUUUUACCGAUUCGAGUCCAAAUGAAGGUUCUUGUCAAAGUCAGCUAACUAUGGAAUUCUCCGAGCCUGAAAUGUGAGGAAAUGAGGGUGGUGAGAUUAGAAAAUCCCAGUGAGUAAACAAAUACCAUCUAAACUAUCUAAAGUCGAGUAAAUGGAGACAAUUAAAAUAAAUCAUCAUACUGUAAUUUCAUUACCUUUCAACUCAUUUCAACCAAAUAAAAUCAAUCCAUAAAAAUCGAGUAAUCAACUUGGCUUAUGAAUUUCUUAAAACUUUGGCUCGUGCCAAAACUCAUACUCGGUGAUACCUUGUGCAGGGCAUCUAACCGAGUCCGCCAAGGCUGUUAAAAUUUUGUGUACACUUAAAAUAUAUUUUUGUUUGAAAAAAAUACAGCCGUUCCUUGGCGUUGGCUGAGUUCCCCUCCACGUGGUGGUUUGGCGUGAAGUGAACCCUAAGCUUUACCCCAGGAGAUACCCUACGCGCUUCUCCAUUCGAGGUAAUAAUAUAAUGGAGUUUACCGUGCCCCUCUAAUAGGCUGGUCCACGGAACCCCCUCUGCAGUAAAUAAUUAAUAUAUAAUCCACCAAUCAAUAAAAUUCAUUCUAGCAUGACAUGGCAAUUUAUUGCAACCUAGCCUCUCAAGGCUGAAUACACAUUAUAAAUAAUUCUAACACCAAAAUCAGUUUAGCCAUUCAUGCUCAUUUAUUAUCAUAAGCCAUUCAAUUCAAAACCAUAAAUUUGCAACACAAACUAGCAGUCUCCAAUUACUCUAUUUUCAAAACCAAUAUUCGAUUUUCCAGAAAAUUUAUAAAAUCAUUUUAUAAAAUCACAAUUUCUCUUAAAACAUAGCAAUU
rnacentral:lncRNA from 1 species